AUUGAACGCUGGCGGAAUGCUUUACACAUGCAAGUCGAGCGGCAGCGCGGCCUUCGGGCUGGCGGCGAGCGGCGAACGGGUGAGUAAUGCAUCGGAACAUGCCCAGUCGUGGGGGAUAACACUUCGAAAGAAGUGCUAAUACCGCAUACGUCCUGAGGGGGAAAGCGGGGGAUCGCAAGACCUCGCGCGAUUGGAGUGGCCGAUGUCAGAUUAGCUAGUUGGUGGGGUAAAGGCCUACCAAGGCGACGAUCUGUAGCUGGUCUGAGAGGAUGAUCAGCCACACUGGGACUGAGACACGGCCCAGACUCCUACGGGAGGCAGCAGUGGGGAAUUUUGGACAAUGGGGGCAACCCUGAUCCAGCCAUUCCGCGUGAGUAAAGAAGGCCUUCGGGUUGUAAAGCUCUUUCGGCAGGAACGAAACGGUGGGCUCUAACAUAGUCCGCUAAUGACGGUACCUGAAGAAGAAGCACCGGCUAACUACGU
rnacentral:rRNA from 1 species